UAGUCCACGCCGUAAACGAUGUCGACUAGCCGUUGGGUCCGUUUAAGGGCUUAGUGGCGCAGCUAACGCGAUAAGUCGACCGCCUGGGGAGUACGGCCGCAAGGUUAAAACUCAAAUGAAUUGACGGGGGCCCGCACAAGCGGUGGAGCAUGUGGUUUAAUUCGACGCAACGCGAAGAACCUUACCUACUCUUGACAUCCAGAGAACUUGGCAGAGAUGCCUUGGUGCCUUCGGGAACUCUGAGACAGGUGCUGCAUGGCUGUCGUCAGCUCGUGUUGUGAAAUGUUGGGUUAAGUCCCGUAACGAGCGCAACCCUUAUCCUUAGUUGCUAGCAGGUUAUGCUGAGAACUCUAGGGAAACUGCCGGUGACAAACCGGAGGAAGGUGGGGACGACGUCAAGUCAUCAUGGCCCUUACGAGUAGGGCUACACACGUGCUACAAUGGGGCUACAAACGGUUGCGAACUCGCGAGAGGGAGCCAAUCUGAGAAAGCGCCUCGUAGUCCGGAUCGCAGU
rnacentral:rRNA from 1 species